UCACCCCUUGCAAUAAGGAUUGGGAGAAGAUUUCCUCACUCUAUAAGUUCAGCACCAAAGACCACUUCUACAGCACUCUGCAUCGAUACAUAGAAAACAAGGACGAUACGGGAGGUAGCAUGAGGUUGGCUUCAUUGAGGUCAAAUGAGUCUGCUAACAACCCUCCAGUUCUAGACUUUGUGGAUGGAGGAACAGCAGCUCUGUGAGGACGAACCGGCUCAACCCAAGACUUGAUUUCAGAUCCAGCACUCUUGGGAGCUUCACGAAGGAUGUCCUGGGGUUGGCUUGGGUCAGUCAAGUUAAGCAGUAGCUACUUUUGUGAAAACUUGUUACCGGGACAAUUUAGAAUUUCCUACAGUAAAGCUAAAUGAAGAAACGUUAGCAUCCAAAAUACUCCCCUGUCUUAAAGAAUGCAUAAAAAGUCAAGAUUGUAUUUUAAAAACUGCUUAACCCUUAAACAUUUUCGGUAUAAAAAGUUAAACCAUCACUUUUGCUGUGUAAAUUUUACCUAAUAUAAUAUACCCAACAAAGAGUACUUGUCAUAAAGAAUGGAUCAAAACAUGACAUGUGAUAAAUGAGUGGUUUUCUUUUAUUUUCAACUGUGGUAUGUGUAAGAAAAAGAGAAACAUGGGAAGUUCCUAAAAACAUGCUCAAAAAUAGCUUAAAAAAACUUUUAAAAAAAUGAUAAAAUGAUACUAGAAACUUGGUCUUUGUUUCACCCAUUCCUGGGACAUGUCUGUGCCUGAAGGCACAGACUGCUUGACACGUGACAUAUUGGAACUCAUGUAAAUAGUUUUGCUCGGGUGAAAGUCACCCGGUGAUAGUCCUCUAGGGUUCAUCUUUUUGCCCUGAAUUGAGUUUUUUCAGUGCUAAAAUACUUUUCUAUUGGGAAAAAAAACUAUAAUUUUGUCUUUAAAAAAUGAACACAAAUCAGAAAGAACCUUUACAAAUCAGAAGCUUGGCUAUAUUGAAUCCUCAGUAUCUGUAAAUAUUUAUAAACGUUUAACACCAGAGGGAAAAACCAUUUUGUUAAGGAAAAAUAUAUUUUCUGGGAACAUUUAGACGUCAGCAUCAGCCAUGAAAAUCUUGUCUGACAUGGAAUCAGUCUGUAACUUCAGAACAGUUGGAGACCACUGAUCUAAGAAACCCCAGAAUGCUGUUUCCAUAUGUAAUGCUGUUGUAACACAUUUAUAGUUUUGCUAAUAAAAACCAUAUUCAGAAGGC